GAUGAACGCUAGCGGCAGGCCUAAUACAUGCAAGUCGAACGGGAUCCAGAUCAAAGCUUGCUUUGGUCUGGUGAGAGUGGCGCACGGGUGCGUAACGCGUGAGCAACCUACCCUUGUCAGGGGGAUAGCCCGGCGAAAGUCGGAUUAAUACCGCAUGACAUCAUUGAGAGGCAUCUUUCGAUGAUCAAAGAUUUAUCGGACAAGGAUGGGCUCGCGUGACAUUAGCUAGUUGGUAAGGUAACGGCUUACCAAGGCUGCGAUGUCUAGGGGCUCUGAGAGGAGAAUCCCCCAAACUGGUACUGAGACACGGACCAGACUCCUACGGGAGGCAGCAGUAAGGAAUAUUGGUCAAUGGACGGAAGUCUGAACCAGCCAUGCCGCGUGCAGGAAGACGGCCCUAUGGGUUGUAAACUGCUUUUAUACGGGAACAAACGUCGGUACGUGUACCGGUCUGAGUGUACCGUAAGAAUAAGGAUCGGCUAACUCCGUG
rnacentral:rRNA from 1 species